AUGAAAUUUGAGAAGGGCCUCAGUACUGCCACAUUAUUAUCUAAUGAGGUUAAAUGUAAACAAGUGGCUUUAUUGGAGCGAGACAUCCUUCUGAAGAAUCUAAAGAGUGUAUUGGAGUCACUGAGAGGACAAGUAGCUGGCAAAUAUAAGGAUGAAUUUGAGGAAUCAGUAUCUAUGGUGGAUAUUUUAGCAGUUCAGCUGUCCAAAAGAGAAAAUGAGUUGCUUCAGCAGAAAACCGAGGUCACGAGAAUAGCGACUUCACUGAAACUGGCUUCUGAAGAUGCUAGGAGAAUUGUUGACGAAGAACGAACUAAUGCACGCAUGGAGAUUGAAAAUGCUAGAGCUGCUGUACAAAGAGUUCAAAAAGUACUUCAAGAGAAAGAGAACAGUUCACAAAGAAUUGGAAAGCAGGUAAAUUGUAUAUAA
rnacentral:rRNA from 1 species